rnacentral:rRNA from 1 species
AAUAUUGGACAAUGGGGGCAACCCUGAUCCAGCCAUGCCGCGUGUGUGAAGAAGCUCUUCGGAUGGUAAAGCACUUUAUGCUGGGAGGAAGGGCUUUAGGUUAAUACCCUGAAGUUUUGACGUUACCAACAGAAUAAGCACCGGCUAACUCUGUGCCAGCAGCCGCGGUAAUACAGAGGGUGCAAGCGUUAAUCGGAAUUACUGCGCGUAAAGCGCGCGUAGGUAGUUCAGUAAGAUGGGUGUGAAAUCCCCGGGCUUAACCUGGGAACUGCUUUCAUAACUGCUGAGCUAGAGUACGGUAGAGGGUAGUGGAAUUUCCUGUGUAGCGGUGAAAUGCGUAGAUAUAGGAAGGAACACCAGUGGCGAAGGCGACUACCUGGACUGUUACUGACGCUGAGGUGCGAAAGCGUGGGGAUCAAAC